UGGGGAAUAUUGGACAAUGGAGGGAACUCUGAUCCAGCAAUUCUGUGUGUGUGAAGAAGGUUUUAGGACUGUAAAACACUUUUAGUAGGGAAGAAAAAAAUGACGGUACCUACAGAAGAAGCAACGGCUCAAUACGUGCCAGCAGCCGCGGUAAUACGUAUGUUGCGAGCGUUAUCCGGAAUUAUUGGGCUUAAAGGGCAUCUAGGCGGUAAGACAAGUUGAAGGUGAAAACCUGUGGCUCAACCAUAGGCUUGCCUACAAAACUGUUGAACUAGAGUACUGGAAAGGUGGGUGGAACUACACGAGUAGAGGUGAAAUUCGUAGAUAUGUGUAGGAAUGCCGAUGAUGAAGAUAACUCACUGGACAGAAACUGACGCUGAAGUGCGAAAGCUAGGGGAGCAAACAGG
rnacentral:rRNA from 1 species